rnacentral:rRNA from 1 species
UACGGAGGGUGCAAGCGUUGUCCGGAAUCACUGGGCGUAAAGGGCGCGUAGGCGGCGCGACAAGUCAAUGGUGAAAGCCCGAGGCUCAACUUCGGGUCGGCCACUGAUACUGUUGGGCUUGAGCACUGUAGAGGCAGGUGGAAUUCCGGGUGUAGCGGUGGAAUGCGUAGAGAUCCGGAAGAACACCAGUUGCGAAGGCAGCCUGCUGGGCAGUAGCUGACGCUGAGGCGCGACAGCGUGGGGAGCAAACAGG